rnacentral:sRNA from 1 species
UCGUCAGCUCGUGUCGUGAGAUGUUGGGUUAAGUCCCGCAACGAGCGCAACCCUCGUUCUAUGUUGCCAGCGGGUUAUGCCGGGGACUCGUAGGAGACUGCCGGGGUCAACUCGGAGGAAGGUGGGGACGAGGUCAAGUCAUCAUGCCCCUUAUGUCCAGGGCUGCAAACAUGCUACAAUGGCUGGUACAAAGGGCUGCUAUACCGCGAGGUGGAGCGAAUCCCAUAAAGCCAGUCUCAGUUCGGAUCGGAGUCUGCAACUCGACUCCGUGAAGUCGGAGUCGCUAGUAAUCCCGGAUCAGCAACGCCGGGGUGAAUACGUUCCCGGGCCUUGUACACACCGCCCGUCACACCACGAAAGUCGGUAACACCCGAAGCCGGUGGCCCAACUCGUGAGAGGGGGAGCCGUCGAAGGUGGGACUGGCGAUUGGGACUAAGUCGUAACAAGGUAGCCGUACCGGAAGGUGCGGCUGGAUCACCUCCUUUCUAAGGAGCACUGGCACCCCGUUGUGGGGUGUCCAGGUGGCCCGCCACGACCGAGUGUGUUGUGGGGGUUGCUCACGGGUGGAUCAUCGGUUAUUUGGCAUCGCGCAUCUGGUGCGCCGGCGAGUACUGGCCUUCUCUUGUUUCCCUUCGGGGUGGGGUUGGUCGUGGGAAGGCGGCGGGUUUGGGUGGGUGGUGUCUGGCGCGUUGUUGGGUCCUGAGGGCUCGGGCGUUUGUUGCCUGCGUUUUCAGCUGGGCCUCCCCUGUUCUCCCGUACCGGGUGCCUCCCUUCUUUUUGGGGGGUGCUGCCGGCGGGGGCUUGUGGUGGGGUGCCGCCCGUAUUUUGAGAACUACACAGUGGACGCGAGCAUCUUUGUGGCCAAGUUUUUAAGGGCGCACGGUGGAUGCCUUGGCACCAGGAACCGAAGAAGGACGUAGGAAUCUGCGAUAAGCCACGGGGAGUCGAUAACCAGACUGUGAUCCGUGGAUUUCCGAAUGGGGAAACC